UUUCUUCUCCUCCUCUUGGUUUCAUUUGAGAGCUAGAUUUAACGUUUGCUUCGAGUCCGGAUGAGAAACUAGAGAGAGAAAGUAGACCACGAGAGAGAGAGAGAGAGAGAGAGAGGGUCAUACAUGUCUGAGCCCGCACUUUUUGUGAUCUAUUCAUCUUCUCUCUAUUUGUCCUAAAAAGUCUUAGAUCACUCGUUUUUCCUCUGAAAUUUACACAGACCCACAUACAUAUACCUCCAGAUUUUGUAGCCUGAGGCCCCUUACUACUGUCAGCAGCCUGAGUUUUGAUUACUUGCAAAACCAUUGAUUGACAAUUUAGAUGGGAAAUCUCUGUAUAACAGAAUUGAAUACAGGCUAGCCAGUACUUUCUCCAUAGCUGAAAAGGGUUACCUACUAUUGUAUCCAUGAUAGCCCCCUUGGUCUUGGACUCUCUUAUAUUCUUGGAACCUUAUCAGCAUAGAAGUCUUAAAAUUUUGCGGUUCCAAAUUAUUUUGUCUGUGAUUUUCUUUUCUAUUAGGGAGUGAAGGAUAAUACUAGUUGACUUUCGUUUAUUAUAUUUUUUAAUUUAUGUUUGCGUGGCUAUCAUAUACAUACAGUUCA